UAAGGAAUAUUGGUCAAUGGGCGGAAGCCUGAACCAGCCAUGCCGCGUGCAGGAAGACGGCCCUACGGGUUGUAAACUGCUUUUGUACCGGAAUAAACCUUGAUUCGUGAAUCAAGCUGAAUGUACGGUAAGAAUAAGGAUCGGCUAACUCCGUGCCAGCAGCCGCGGUAAUACGGAGGAUCCAAGCGUUAUCCGGAUUUAUUGGGUUUAAAGGGUGCGUAGGUGGCCUGUUAAGUCAGGGGUGAAAGACGGUAGCUUAACUAUCGCAGUGCCUUUGAUACUGACGGGCUUGAAUACACUAGAGGUAGGCGGAAUGUGACAAGUAGCGGUGAAAUGCAUAGAUAUGUCACAGAACACCAAUUGCGAAGGCAGCUUACUAUGGUGUCAUUGACACUGAGGCACGAAAGCGUGGGGAUCAAACA
rnacentral:rRNA from 1 species